rnacentral:misc_RNA from 1 species
GAUGAGGAACGCAGCGAACUGCGAUAAGUAAUGUGAAUUGCAGAAUUCAGUGAAUCAUCGAGUCUUUGAACGCACAUUGCGCCCCCUGGCAUUCCGGGGGGCAUGCCUGUCCGAGCGUCAUUGCUGCCCUUCAAGCCCGGCUUGUGUGUUGGGUCGUCGUCCCCCCCGGGGGACGGGCCCGAAAGGCAGCGGCGGCACCGCGUCCGGUCCUCGAGCGUAUGGGGCUUUGUCACCCGCUCGAUUAGGGCCGGCCGGGCGCCAGCCGGCGUCUCCAACCUUCUAUUUUACCAGGUUGACCUCGGAUCAGGUAGGGAUAACCGCUGAACUUAAGCAUAUCAAUAAGCGA